rnacentral:rRNA from 1 species
AUUGAACGCUGGCGGCAUGCCUUACACACGCAAGUCGAACGGUAACGCGGGGCAACCUGGCGACGAGUGGCGAACGGGGGAGUAAUGCAUCGGAACGUGCCCGGUAGUGGGGGAUAACUGCUCGAAAGAGCAGCUAAUACCGCAUACGAACUGAGGGUGAAAGGGGGGGAUCGCAAGACCUCCCGCUAUCGGAGCGGCCGCUGUCGGAUUAGCUAGUUGGUGGGGUAAAAGCCCACCAAGGCGACGAGCCGUAGCUGGUCUGAGAGGACGACCAGCCACACUGGGACUGAGACACGGCCCAGACUCCUACGGGAGGCAGCAGUGGGGAAUUUUGGACAAUGGACGCAAGUCUGAUCCAGCCAUGCCGCGUGCGGGAAGAAGGCCUUCGGGUUGUAAACCGCUUUUGUCAGGGAAGAAAUCUUCUGAGUUAAUACCUCGGGAGGGUGACGGUACCUGAAGAAUAAGCACCGGCUAACUACGUGCCAGCCGCCGCAGUAA